GGGAUGGCAGGUAGCUCGUUGGCUAGGCUUGUGGCUUGCUGCAGGCUUUUGGCUCUCGGGUGUAAUUGGCUGACCAUAUCGGCACUGUGCAGUAUGUCGGAGACGGCGGCUUGUGGUGUGUGCGUUCGUGCCAGUUGGUUGGCGUUUCCGGGUUUGGUUGUUAUGUUGCCUGUGUUUGCAGGCCUGAUGAUAGCUCGGAUUCGCUUGAUCGGCGGCUGCGUGCGUGUCACUUUCCAGGGCCAAUAGUCUGUGGUGUUGCGGUAGACUAUCCACCUGACCCGUCUUGAAACACGGACCAAGGAGAGUAACAUGUGCGCGAGUCAUUGGGCGUUACGAAACCCAAAGGCGAAGUGAAAGUAAAGGUCCGGCUUGUCUGGACUGAGGUGAGAUCCUGUCGUUUCUCACGCGCGGUAUCACCAAGCAUCGAGCGGCAGGCGCAUCACCGGCCCGUCCCAUGGUGUGGUGACAAUCUUUUGAGCGUUCGUCACCGGGGCGGAGCAUGAGCGUGCAUGUUGAGACCCGAAAGAUGGUGAACUAUGCUUGCGCAGGUUGAAGCCAGAGGAAACUCUGGUGGAGGACCGCAGCGAUUCUGACGUGCAAAUCGAUCGUCAGACGUGAGUAUAGGGGCGAAAGACUAAUCG
rnacentral:rRNA from 1 species